ACCCGAAUAGGCUAUUUUUUGGAUGCCAAUUGUUAAAGGUGACAGAACCACAUUGCAAAUUCUUUGUCUGGGUUGAUGACCACAUUGUAAGGGUCAGAGUAGUGGAGCCAACAAGGGGAUUGGGUGACGGCAAGCUGAAUGAUGUUGAAGAACAUUCGGGACUGGAUAACUUGAUUGCUCAUGUAGAGGAAAGAAUAGUAAACCUAGAGAAGCUGCUGAACAAAAAAGUAGAGAAGCAGAGUUGAAGAAAAAGAAUAGAGAAGCAGAUGCAAGAGAGAAGGAGGCUUCAUCAACAAAGUCUAAUGAUUAGAUCAAAACCAGAACCACAAGCACCUCUAAUAAGGUUAUAGAAGAUCAAUGAAGAUUGUUUUUUGAAGAUAGUUCUAGGCAAUUAUGUUAUCUAUGAUAGUUUGUGAAUUUUUCUUUUACAAUGUAAACACAAAAUUGAUUAAAAAUUUUAAAAGAAAAAUUGGUGAUGCCGUUUCG